ACUUAUUGAUGCAUUCAUUGGUUGAUUCUUACAAGUGUCCUGACAGGGGAUCAAACCUACAAUUUUGGUAUAUUAGGACCACACACUAACCAACUGAGCUACUCAUUCAGGGCAUGGCAAAUAAUGUCUAAAUCUAGAUAAAUCGUUUUUAAAAACACACUAUUUGAGGGCACUAGAAAGUUAUAAAGUUAGGAGCAGACCAGAGGAGGGUUUACCUUUGAAACAUAGAAACUGCAAUGGGUAAGAAUCACAAGUUUGGGCAUUAUGCCUGAGGGUGCUCACCACCACUAUUCUUACCAACAUCCCCAUUCAAUACCCAUAGCUCUUGCAGCAGAAAAAUACAGUCUUACAGUCCUGUGUGACAGCAGAGCACAGAAAUCGGGGCAGACAGAUUAGCUAUAAAUUUAGGGGGAGAAAUCCUAAAAACAAUAGAGCUACAGAAGGAGAGAAACCCAAAUCCUUGGUUUACCAUUAAAAUUCACAUUCAGGAGGGGAGACAGGAAGGGAUUCAGAGUAAAGCAAGCAAAAAUCAGAUGGGAGUAUGUCCUUUGAAAACUAGUAGGAUAUGUAUGUUUACUGCUUUUUUCAGACUGAUGGAAUUUCCCAAGCAGUGCGUAGUUCACAGAGCAGAAAGCUAGGGUCUGACUAACUUGAGAUGUUAGAAGACAGGCCUCAUGGCUGAGAAAGGAGCUGCAAAUUUAGGGAGGAAACUUGGAAAGAAAAAGACACACAGAGAGGUAAGGCCCAUAAUCUUAGUAACAACUCUGCCCAAACUCCUAGUGACAGCUAAUGACAGAGGUACAGGGAACAUUCCUCAGGCACUAGCUUCUAAAAGCAAUAGCUAUAAGCUGAAAGAAUUGAGCAGAGACAAAGACUACACAACACAGGGAAAAAAUGUGUAGUUUGUUUGAGACCAGUCAAGUUAACUGCCACUUAGAGCAACAACAAAGCCAUCCUUAGAGAACAUAACAGAAUCUAAAAUGACUAAGAGGUACUGCAAGCAAAUAGCCCAAAAGUCACCAAAGUAAAAUGAAAUACACAAAAGUAUUUCAUUAACACAAAAGAAAGUACAAAAUUCCAACAAAGGAAAGCCCAACACCAGGUGGCUUCAUUGGUGAAUUCUUUCUACCAAAUAUUUAAAGAAGACUUAAUAUCAAAAUUUAUCACUCUUCCAAAAAAAAAUGAAGAGGCAGCAACACUUUCUAACUCAUUCUAUUAGGUCAGCAUUACCCCAUUACCAAAGCCAAAGACACACUA